UAAAUGACUCUCGGCAACGGAUAUCUCGGCUCUCGCAUCGAUGAAAAACGUACCGAAAUGCGAUACUUGGUGUGAAUUGCAGAAUCCCGUGAACCAUCGAGUCUUUGAACGCAAGUUGCGCCCCAAGCCUUUAGGCCGAGGGCACGCCUGCCUGGGUGUCACAC
rnacentral:rRNA from 1 species